UUCAAACUAUGCAUGAUUAUAUUAUAGAAAGGUAAAUUUAAGUAUUUUCUCUCUUCUGCGAUUCACAUAUAGGUCAGCUUGAAAAGUGGAUUAGCCUUUUGCCAGCUUUUAAGACCCAUUUUGGAAGUGCCAUCUGCAAGAAUUCCUCUCUCCAUUUCUGUGAGUAAGCAUGAACAACUUGAUUUGACACCCAGUUCUAAACAGAAAACUUACCUCCUUUAAUAAAUGACAGAGCAGCAGCAACUGAAGCGCAGCAUGUGUUCUUGUGUCUUCAACUUCUCACUGCUGUCCAUGAGGAGGUAAAUGACAAAGAGUUGAUUAUUUACAAACUUAUAAAUUUUGACACUGUCAUGACACUGCAAAGGAAAUUAUA
rnacentral:lncRNA from 1 species